UCCCUGGAGGUCCAGUGGUUAAGACUCUGUGCUGCCAAUGCAGGGGUUGCAGGUUUGAUUCCUGGUCAGGGAA
rnacentral:tRNA from 1 species